UUGUGCAUACCCUCUACCACGAGUAGAUGCGGGCUUGCCAGUAUCUUUACCUUUUAGCAUACCCUAUACCAUGAGUAUAGUGGGCUUGCUAGUAUCUUUACCUAUAUUGUGUCUUCCUAUCACUGCCCAAGAGAGUAGAGGUUAAGGAUUAUCUUUUACCUUGCUUUUUAGUUGUUGUUGAUAUCCGGAACCAUAUCAUAUAGGUUUAGCUUUGUAGCAAUGUAGUUUCAACUAGUCCUGAUGAAUUAGUCCCUCAUUGAACUCUCGGGUGAUUAAUAGAAUUUGUUCGCUCUAGUGUCAAUGUUGGGUAGAGUUAAUAGGAUUUGUUUUAGUUUGAUUGUUGUGAAUGGUUCUGGUAAUAUUGUGUUAGGGGUUGUUAAUAAACGCCUGUAAUUUAGUUUUAAUGAUGGUUUAUUAACACAUGAGAAUGUAGAUAGUAAGUAGUGUUAAGAGUUAACUUACUCUAUAAGGUUGUAUAAUUAUAUUUAGAAUGUAAGCGAUUAACACGUGAUUGUUUGUUUUUUUUUUUUUUCAAUCUUUGGUUUUACUAAAUUAAAAUUAUCGCGUUGAAUAACUUAUGUCGGUCAGUUACCUAUGUCGGUUAGUUACACAUCUUUUCUAUGUUUUAUACUUUCUGCAAAUAUGAUUAAAUAUGUCUCGCGUGGCCUUUAUACUGUCUGUAUGACUUCGUUCCUGAUUUUUGUUCCGCCUCCUCAGCAAAUAGUAUGGCUGUUGAGGCUACCAUAAUUAUGGUUUUAUACCACCACGUUUCUCCUUUACUGUGUCCAUCCUCGGGUUCGCCCUAGCGUUAGUUCGCUCAGGAAAACUUAAAAAAAAAAAGGAAUCCUUUGGGAGUUUUCCUUUUUUUUUGCUGGAGAUGAGGGAGAAUGUAGCAGUUACGCUACUAACUAAAUAAAUCCAAAUAAAAUUUCAUCAAAUACCCCUAAAUAAAUCCCGUGUGCGACGCCGUCGAUCGACUUAAGAACGAUAUCUCUCUGCUCACGCGCGAAAACCUCGGCGUUCGAUUUUGUCGAUCCGAAUCGGAACGGCAGUUUUGGUCAGGCUCAGAGCGAACACGCUGUGUUUUUUUUUCCUAAGUGGCGGAUUUGGACGAGAUUUUGGAUAAAAUGGAGCAGAUAUAUCACUAAAAUGAAGGAACAUUAAGACCAUCUUUUUUGGAAUAGCGAUAAUAUCAAAACUCAAUUUAUCUUUGGUUUUUUUUUACAUAAAAGAAGUUUAAGGCCAGCGUGUUUCGUCUGUCCAAAUUCCGCCACUUAGACACUUAGUGACUUAGUCACUUAGUUACGUCGUAACUUAGUCACUUUGCAUUCCUUUGCAUAAUUUAUGUCACUUGAAGUAUGUACCAGUAACUGUUAGCAACUUUGCCAUGGUUUACCCAUAGAGCUCGCUGUUUCGUUGGAGAAAACCAGUACCUGACUUCACAACAUUUAGGAUUUUUCAGUAGGACUUGCCCACCACAGCAUCCAACCAGUUUAUCGUGCCAAAAGGACUCUCCUAUGGACUUCAUCUUGAAUUCUUAAAUAGGAACUGUGGUGAAAGAUAAGUUUGUUUACUUUUAUUAUUUAUAUAUUUUGGGUACUCUAUAGUUGCUUGCACUGUAAACUGUUUGUAUGCAUACAAUCGAGUGGAACUAGGUACAUAUUUUCGUGACAGAUAGGGUUUUCAGGUCUUUGUUUUGUUCCAUAUUAUAAAUAGUAGUUUUUUCUAAUUAAGUAAGUCUUGUUUAAUAAUAAUCAUAAAUAAUUGUAGCUUAAAAUUUGAUAGGGAAUCGGGGGUAAAAUUUUGUCGAGCUUUUAAAAUAGGGAAUAUGUCUAGUGGGUUUUUACAUUGUAUAUUAAGAGUCUGACCAGCUCAUUUAUAUAAGUCAAUUGUAUAAUAAUUAGUAUUUUUGCUAGAUGAGAUACUUAAUUUUUGGUAACCGUAGCGUUCUUGUCGUGUACGUAUCUCAUUAGACGAGUUCAAUUUAGGAAAUAUUACUAACUUUUAGUUGUAAGAACUUUGUGCUAUUCACACGGACUUUUGCUUUUGGAUUUUCUACUAAUACAUUUACUUAGCGCAGUGUGUAGUGGUUAAUUGUAAGUUAGUGGCUGUUUGGUCCUGUUUGACCGUUUCACCACCCACUACCACUGUUAUUGUGUUUUGAUUUAUAUAUUACAUUGUCAAUAUAUGUAUAAUAGAGUUAUUGUUAAUAUAUUUGUUAUUAGAAA
rnacentral:lncRNA from 1 species